UACGUAGGGUGCAAGCGUUGUCCGGAAUUAUUGGGCGUAAAGAGCUCGUAGGCGGUUUGUUGCGUCGGCUGUGAAAUCCCGAGGCUCAACCUCGGGUCUGCAGUCGAUACGAGCAAACUAGAGUGUUGCAGGGGAGACUGGAAUUCCUGGUGUAGCGGUGAAAUGCGCAGAUAUCAGGAGGAACACCGGUGGCGAAGGCGGCUUCCUGGUUUGCGACUGACGCUGUGGCGCGAAAGCUAGGGGAGCAAACGGG
rnacentral:rRNA from 1 species